rnacentral:rRNA from 1 species
GACGAACCGUGCAAACGUUAUUCGGAAUCACUGGGCUUAAAGGGUGCGUAGGCGGGCGUCAAGUCAGUGGUGAAAUCCCCCGGCCCAACCGGGGAACUGCCGCCGAUACUGAUCGUCUCGAGGGAGGUAGGGGUGUGUGGAACUUCCGGUGGAGCGGUGAAAUGCGUAGAGAUCGGAAGGAACGCCGGCGGCGAAAGCGACACACUGGACACGUAUUGACGCUGAGGUGCGAAAGCGUGGGGAGCAAACAGG